rnacentral:rRNA from 1 species
UUGGAAGUAAAAGUCGUAACAAGGUCUCCGUUGGUGAACCAGCGGAGGGAUCAUUACAGAGUUUACAACUCCCAAACCCAUGUGAACAUACCUUUACGUUGCUUCGGCGGAGCCGCCCCGGCGCCCGGAACGCAAGUUUCGCGGCCCGGAACCAGGCGCCCGCCGGAGGCCACAAACUCUUCUGUUUUUACAGUAUCUUCUGAGCGUGCCGCAAGGCAACAUACAAAUGAAUCAAAACUUUCAACAACGGAUCUCUUGGUUCUGGCAUCGAUGAAGAACGCAGCGAAAUGCGAUAAGUAAUGUGAAUUGCAGAAUUCAGUGAAUCAUCGAAUCUUUGAACGCACAUUGCGCCCGCCAGCAUUCUGGCGGGCAUGCCUGUUCGAGCGUCAUUUCAACCCUCGAGCCCCCCUUGGGGGGCCCGGCGUUGGGGACCGGCACUAACACCGCCGGCCCCGAAAUGGAGUGGCGGCCCGUCCGCGGCGACCUCUGCGUAGUAACUCAACCUCGCAUCGGGACCCGGGCGCGGCCACGCCGUAAAACACCCAACUUUCUGAACGUUGACCUCGAAUCAGGUAGGAAUACCCGCUGAACUUAAGCAUAUCAAUAAGCGGAGGAA